rnacentral:rRNA from 1 species
CGUGUAGGCGGUGCGGUAAGUUGGGCGUGAAAUCCCCGAGCUUAACUCGGGUGGGCCGUUCAAGACUGCCGUGCUAGGGUGCGGGAGAGGGAAGUGGAAUUUCCGGUGUAGCGGUGAAAUGCGUAGAUAUCGGGAGGAACACCUGCGGCGAAGGCGGCUUCCUGGACCGUAACCGACGCUGAGGCGCGAAAGCUAGGGGAGCAAACAGGAUUAGAUACCCUGGUAGUCCUAGCCCUAAACGAUGAGCACUGGGUGUGGCCCCUCACGAGGCCGUGCCGAAGCUAACGCAUUAAGUGCUCCGCCUGGGGAGUACGGUCGCAGGGCUGAA